GGCCUGUUAGCGCAGCUGGUUAGAGCGUGUUGCUAAUAAUGCCAAGGUCAUGGGUUCAAUCCCCAUACUGGACA
rnacentral:tRNA from 1 species